rnacentral:misc_RNA from 1 species
AAUCAGCUUAACAUGCCUGGUAACUUCUUGGAAUUCCGUCCUUGUUUAGCUUUUUUUUUUCUAGCAUUACAGAACUUUGUUUACUACGAAGUGCUUGACAUGAUAUGUCCUGACAUUCCAGUUGCCUGAACUACUGAGAUAGCUAAUUUUGGUCCAAAUGUUGGAAAUCAGCUUUGAAUUAUGUAUACCUGAACUGUGUUUCCACUAUCAUUCACCUAAAUGUAAAUAUGGAGCUACUAUUUUUCAUGAGCAUUCUCUGUUAGGCAAUUGUACAUCCAUGGAUACAUGGUGCAUAUUGGUUUUGUAUCAUUUCAAGGCAAAUAGUAUUAUCAGUCACAAAAAUUGGCUUUUGCAUAAAAUGAUAUGAAAUGUAUUUAAGGUGUGGAUUUGCCCAUAGAACGGAUCUAAAAUAACUUUUGAUUCUGGUCAGAUGUCAUGUAACUGGGUGAAGGUUUAUUAGAUUCCUGAUCGAGUUGAAGUGGAAUAACACCUGCAGCAGAAGGCAGUGUAUAGAAGCAGAAAACUAUUACAUAGACACUAUUCUGGUGUCAAUGCAGUUUUGCAGGGGCACGAAGCUCAAGUGUUUCCAUUAAGAUUUCAGUUAAGCAGCAAGAUUCUUGGUUGCGGUGUUCCUGACACCAACAUAUCCUGAAAUUUGACUGUAAAUCUUCUACGUGUGUAUGUAUGUGUGUAUAU